GGCAUUACUUUGAAAAGAAGAGAAUAAAUUCAAGAAGAAAGUCAAGUAGAAACUGCAAAUCUAGAAUAUUCUGCAUCAGCUUAUUUACAAGGAGAGGGAAUUGGGAGUGAGGGUUUAAAUAAAAAAGGCACAGCUCUGUGACUAAGGCCUCAGCUUACAGGAAGAGUCAGAAAUGACAGAUAUCUUUGGCUGCUGUUACAGUGUGGAUGUCCAAUGUAUUCAAACAACUUGAUGGGAUCUGGAAUACUUACGAUAAGGAGGAGGCAGCUGAGACAGAAGUAAAAGGUAUCCCCAGCAGACUGAAGAAAAAGGUGUUUCACAAUUUCUGAAACUUUUCUUAAGCUUGUCCUUACAAUGCCAGCACUUCCUGAGGUGUGUUGUGGUUCCUGGCCAGUGCCUUUGCAUGUCACUAAUGAGAACAGGCAAUGCCACGUGGAUGAAGGUAAAUGUGAAUGCUGGCAAUGGAGGAGAAUGGCUUAAUGCAAAAUCCUGUGUUUAUGUCAGGCACACCAGGCAAAAAUAACAUGGGGGAAAUUAAGGGUGAGUGCCAACAGGUCUUUCUGUAAGUCAUUGUCUGAGGUUGUUUGG